rnacentral:tRNA from 1 species
GUGGAUAUAGCUCAGUGGCAGAGUGUGUGCUUAGCAAGCGCAAGAUCCUGGGCUCAAUCUCCAGUACCUCCA